UACGUAGGUGGCAAGCGUUGUCCGGAUUUACUGGGCGUAAAGAGCGCGCAGGCGGUCGGAUAAGUCGAAUGUGAAAGCCCCCGGCUCAACUGGGGAGGGUCAUUCGAUACUGUUCGACUCGAAGGCAGGAGAGGGAAGUGGAAUUCCCGGUGUAGUGGUGAAAUGCGUAGAUAUCGGGAGGAACACCGAUGGCGAAGGCAGCUUACUGGGCCGAUACUGACGCUGAGGAGCGAAAGCGUGGGGAGCGAACAGG
rnacentral:rRNA from 1 species